AGACUUUGCCCCAGUUCCUACAGGAAAAGGAGCCUGAAGCCAGCCGGGAACUCCGGGAAGGGUGGUUAGGCAGCAGAACCUGGCAGAAGUCAUCUACCAAGAAAGAGAACAAAUGGAGGAGCUCUGGGCUCACACCAGCCAGGAUUACCAAGGUCUGCUGGACCGGGGAUGGAGCAGAGGAGAACUAUGAAGCUGGGCUCUGGCCAAGGGAUUGAAUCCAGGGCCUCAUUCAUGCUACGCAAGCACUUGAAGACUGACCUACAUCCCCAUCCCGUGUCCAGUGACUCUUACAGCCACCUCUGCCGCCAUGUCUUCCCGCCAUGACGAACUCCUACGCCUUUGGAACCAUAAGCUAAAUAAACGCUUCCUUCUAUAAACUGCUUUGGUUCACAUCUCUUUGCAUUGUGUGUGUUAUGUCUGCACCACCCAACUGAUGCGGAGAAGACAACGGUGCAGGAAGGAGCUGAGGGACCCGUGGGUGAGGACACAACCUUCAAACAGCCCACCCUGGGCUUCAACAUAAGGAAGUCUCUCACUCUCCUCACAAAACCCAGGGCCCAGGGCCUGCUCUAAGAGCAUCCCUUCAGGUUAUGGACCCGCCUUGGAUCACUUGGUAAGGAACAGUCCCCAUAAGCCAAAGCCCCCAAGGGAAACAGACCUCUUCUGAAGCCAGGUGUGAUAAUACACAUCUUUGCCAGGACUCAGGAUGCUGAGGCAGGAGGAUUGCAAGUUGAAUGCCAGUCUGAGCUACACAAGGAGACUUUAUCCACCUGUAAUAACUGGGCUCUCACCAACAUUCUGUGAGAGAGAGUCCCUUGCUUUGAAAAGCUGAAUCACACCCACUUGAGGUGUCAGGCUUAGCCAAGCAUGUUUGAGCUACUGAGUGUCAGGGGUGGAUUUUACAUCAGGAAUCAAAAGUAGCAUCUGGGGAAAUCAAGAAUCCCAACAGAUGAGUCCCUGGAAUUGAGGGAGAGGGUGGUGAUGUGUGACAGUGGAUUGGAGGUGGGAAUCUGAAUGAGGUGUCCACUCUGAGGGGGUUUCCUGGGAACUGCAAAGGAGAGUGUGGACCAGGAGGUGGGGCUGGACUUGGAUAACCUCAGCAGAGGAAGGAAUGAGAGCUCUGAUGUCAGCAAAUCUGACUGGAAUCCUAGCUCUGACCAGGAGCAUGUAUGCUUGAUUUCUCUGGGCCUUUUUUCAUUGAUUCUAGAAUGGGGAUAAGUCUCCUCUCAUGUGGGCUGGGGAUGUAGCUCACUGUUAGAGCACUUGCCCAGCAUUCAUAAGGCCCAGGGUUCAAUCCCUCAUUGUUAAAAAAAAAAAAGAAAUCCCCUCUCAUACGGUGGUUGUGGUGGCGAGAUGAGAUAGCUCACAUCUAGUUGCUACAGGGAUGUGGUUCCGGGAAAGUCUGGCACUGGCCAAUGAAUGCAAAGGACUGACCAUUUCUUAAACACAGGUUCCUUCAACCGCUUCCCUCUGACUGUUCCAUCCUCAGUAGGGCUGCUGGUGGGACUGAGCUGGGAGAGGGUACCUAUUGCUUGGAGCCUUGGUAACUCAGCAACCUCCAGAUCUCAGCUGCAUUUUAGUCUGAAGAGGCCGCCGCUCUGAAAACAGCCUGGCAUCCACCCAACCAACAUCUCAGCUCCCCAGUCCGCUUUCAGCCCAGGGGCCAUUAAGGCUGGCUGGAGCCUCUGCACGAAUGGAGGACGCUCUCAGCACACUCAGCGCCUGUCCUCCAGGAGCACAGGCAAAGCUGGCGUCAAAAGCAUCGUCCUCCAGUCCUCCCAGGCUGCAGCUGCGGCUGCCUAGUGGAUGGGUGGUGUUGGACAAACCUGGCUUCUCGCCCUCUCCCCGACCUCUGUCCUUUCCUGCUCUCUCACUGCCUUGGGUAUCUUUUCUGUGCUGCCCCGACGCGCGCACGCUCACAUAGGAACAUGCACCUGUCUUCAUCCCCUCCCCUCUCUGACCCUCUUCUCCAUCCUCUGCUGACUUGUCCCUUCACCACCUUAGUAUUUUCCUUUUGUCUUUUUCUUGUUUUUGUGCAUUUCCCCAUCUUUAAAAUUCUUUGAAAAACACCUCUUUUCAUGGAUAUGAAAAGUCACCCUAAAGGUGUUUCUCAAUUUUCUGGACAUUUCUCUGUUGGACAGUCAUGUCGUUUCCAAUCUUUUCAGUGUGGCAAUGUUGUAACUACUAUAAAGGAGAAUGUGUAGACCCUGGAGAGAUUUCAUAUGAAGCCAGUGAUCACAGAGCAUGAACUCUGGAAUUUUCGCUCCACUGACUAGGUCUCAAAUCAAGAAACAGGUGUCAAAACAGUGAAGACGGUCUAGCACAGGGCAGUGCUCCACUCACCGGUCACGUCUUUCCACUUGUGGUCCCCGGGUUGGAGGACCACCUGCCUAGGCGUGGCACCGUCCACAGGGGCUGGGCCCUCCUACAUCACUCAAAAAUCAAGAAAAUGCCCCACAGGCCAGUCCAACGGAGGAAAUUCCUCCACUGAGGCUCCUUCUACCCAGGUGUGUCAAGUUGACAACUGACUAUCCAGCCCAGGAAGCAUGAACAAACAUUUAUGCACCUCACACAGGAUGCCAAUGACAGACUGUUAGUCUGAUUUCUGUUGCUAAUAAACACCAUGGCCAAAAGCAGCUCGAGGGAGGAAGGGGUUCAUUUCUGCUCACAGCUCACAGCCCAACAUCAAGGG